GAUGAACGCUGGCGGCGUGCCUAAUACAUGCAAGUCGAGCGAACAGAUAAGGAGCUUGCUCCUUUGACGUUAGCGGCGGACGGGUGAGUAACACGUGGGUAACCUACCUAUAAGACUGGGAUAACUUCGGGAAACCGGAGCUAAUACCGGAUAAUAUUUCGAACCGCAUGGUUCGAUAGUGAAAGAUGGUUUUGCUAUCACUUAUAGAUGGACCCGCGCCGUAUUAGCUAGUUGGUAAGGUAACGGCUUACCAAGGCGACGAUACGUAGCCGACCUGAGAGGGUGAUCGGCCACACUAGAACUGAGACACGGUCCAGACUCCUACGGGAGGCAGCAGUAGGGAAUCUUCCGCAAUGGGCGAAAGCCUGACGGAGCAACGCCGCGUGAGUGAUGAAGGUCUUCGGAUCGUAAAACUCUGUUAUUAGGGAAGAACAUACGUGUAAGUAACUGUGCACGUCUUGACGGUACCUAAUCAGAAAGCCACGGCUAACUACGUG
rnacentral:rRNA from 1 species